GACGAACGCUGGCGGCGUGCCUAAUACAUGCAAGUAGAACGCUGAAACUUGGUGCUUGCACCGAGCGGAUGAGUUGCGAACGGGUGAGUAACGCGUAGGUAACCUGCCUGGUAGCGGGGGAUAACUAUUGGAAACGAUAGCUAAUACCGCAUAAGAGUAGAUGUUGCAUGACAUUUGCUUAAAGGUGCAAUUGCACCACUACCAGAUGGACCUGCGUUGUAUUAGCUAGUUGGUGGGGUAACGGCUCACCAAGGCGACGAUACAUAGCCGACCUGAGAGGGUGAUCGGCCACACUGGGACUGAGACACGGCCCAGACUCCUACGGGAGGCAGCAGUAGGGAAUCUUCGGCAAUAGACGGAAGUCUGACCGAGCAACGCCGCGUGAGUGAAGAAGGUUUUCGGAUCGUAAAGCUCUGUUGUAAGAGAAGAACGAGUGUGAGAGUGGAAAGUUCACACUGUGACGGUAUCUUACCAGAAAGGGACGGCUAACUACGUG
rnacentral:rRNA from 1 species